rnacentral:pre_miRNA from 1 species
GGUGGGAUUGCUGGGUCAUAUGGUGAGUGUAUGUUUAGCUUUAUAAGAAACUGCCAAACUGUUUUUCAAAGUGGCUAUACCAUUUUGCAUUCCCACCAGCAGU